GAUGAACGCUGGCGGCGUGCUUAACACAUGCAAGUCGAGCGAGAAGUUUUGAACAGAUUCUUCUGAUGAAAUUUAAAAUGGAAAGCGGCGGACGGGUGAGUAACGCGUAGGCAACCUGCCCCAUACAAAGGGAUAGCAUUUGGAAACGAAUAUUAAUACCUUAUGAAACUUAACUAGUGCAUGCUAGGUAGUUCAAAGAUUUAUCGGUAUGUGAUGGGCCUGCGUCUGAUUAGCUAGUUGGUGAGGUAACGGCUCACCAAGGCGACGAUCAGUAGCCGACCAGAGAGGGUGAACGGCCAAAGUGGAACGGAGACACGGUCAAAAAAAAUACGGGAGGAAGCAGAGGGGAAAAAUGAAAAAGGGGGGAAAGACAGAUGCAGCAACGCAGCGUGAACGAUGAAGGCCGUUGGGUAGAAAAGUUAUGAGAUAGGUGAGGAAAAAGGACAGUAACAAAGGAGAAAGACCCGGCUAACUACGUG
rnacentral:rRNA from 1 species